AUUGAACGCUGGUGGCAGGCUUAACACAUGCGAGUCGAACGGUAACAGGAAUUAGCUUGCUAAUUUGCUGACGAGUGGCGGACGGGUGAGUAAUGCUUGGGAAUCUGGCUUAUGGAGGGGGAUAACUACGGGAAACUGUAGCUAAUACCGCGUAAAAUCUUCGGAUUAAAGGGUGGGACUUUCGAGCCACCUGCCAUAAGAUGAGCCCAAGUGGGAUUAGGUAGUUGGUUAGGUAAAGGCUGACCAAGCCGACGAUCUCUAGCUGGUCUGAGAGGAUGACCAGCCACACUGGAACUGAGACACGGUCCAGACUCCUACGGGAGGCAGCAGUGGGGAAUAUUGCACAAUGGGGGGAACCCUGAUGCAGCCAUGCCGCGUGAAUGAAGAAGGCCUUCGGGUUGUAAAGUUCUUUCGGUGACGAGGAAGGUUGAUAGGUUAAUAGCCUAUCAAAUUGACGUUAAUCACAGAAGAAGCACCGGCUAACUCCGUG
rnacentral:rRNA from 1 species